rnacentral:rRNA from 1 species
GGAUGAACGCUGGCGGUAUGCUUAACCCAUGCAAGUCGAGCGGUCACUUCGGUGAUAGUGGCGGACGGGUGAGUAACGCGUGAGAAUCUGUCUUCAGGUCGGGGACAACAGUUAGAAAUGACUGCUAAUACCGGAUGUGCCUUUGGGUGAAAGAUUUAUUGCCUGAAAAAGAGCUCGCGUCAGAUUAGCUAGUAGGUGGUGUAAGAGACUACCUAGGCUCCGAUCUGUAGCUGGUCUGAGAGGACGAUCAGCCACACUGGAACUGAGACACGGUCCAGACUCCUACGGGAGGCAGCAGUGGGGAAUUUUCCGCAAUGGGCGAAAGCCUGACGGAGCAAUACCGCGUGAGGGACGAAGGCUUUUGGGUCGUAAACCUCUUUUCUCAAGGAAGAUGAUGACGGUACUUGAGGAAUAAGCAUCGGCUAACUCUGU